CACCCUGGUGCGUUUGAGGUUCUAACCUAGGUCCAUUAUCUGGAUCGGGGACAGUGCAUGGUAGGCAGUUUGACUGGGGCGGUCUCCUCCCAAAGCGUAACGGAGGAGUUCGAAGGUACGCUAGGUACGGUCGGACAUCGUGACGAUAGUGCAAUGGCAUAAGCGUGCUUAACUGCGAGACUGACAAGUCGAGCAGGUACGAAAGUAGGUCUUAGUGAUCCGGUGGUUCUGUAUGGAAGGGCCAUCGC
rnacentral:rRNA from 13 species